rnacentral:rRNA from 1 species
UACGAAGGGGGCUAGCGUUGCUCGGAAUCACUGGGCGUAAAGCGCACGUAGGCGGCUUUUUAAGUCAGGGGUGAAAUCCUGGAGCUCAACUCCAGAACUGGCCUUUGAUACUGAGAAGCUUGAGUCCGGGAGAGGUGAGUGGGAACUGCGAGUGUAGAGGUGAAAUUCGUAGAUAUUCGCAAGAACACCAGUGGCGAAGGCGGCUCACUGGCCCGGUACUGACGCUGAGGUGCGAAAGCGUGGGAGCAACAGG